GAUCAUGGCUCAGGACGAACGCUGGCGGCGUGCCUAACACAUGCAAGUCGAGCGGGGGACAUGCGACGGAUAGGAAGUUUUCGGAUGGACUUGAAGAUGCAUCGUUCUAGCGGCGGACGGGUGAGUAACGCGUGAGCAACCUGUCCCUUACAGGGGGAUAACACAGCGAAAGUUGUACUAAUACCGCAUAAGACCACGGGAGGACAUCCUUCAGGGGUCAAAGGAGGAAUCCGGUAAGGGGUGGGCUCGCGUCCGAUCAGAUAGUUGGUGAGGUAACGGCCCACCAAGUCGACGAUCGGUAGCCGACCUGAGAGGGUGAUCGGCCACAUUGGGACUGAGACACGGCCCAACUCCUACGGGAGGCAGCAGGUGGGGAAUAUUGGGCAAUGGGGGAAACCCUGACCCAGCAACGCCGCGUGAGGGAAGAAGGUUUUCGGAUCGUAAACCUCUGUCCUUGGUGAAGAGGAAGAGACGGUAGCCAAGGAGGAAGCCCCGGCUAACUACGUGCCAGCCGCUGC
rnacentral:rRNA from 1 species